GCCAGGACGCCCGCCUGCGCGCUCCACUUACACCUGGUGGUGUGUUGAUUCCGCUGCGGCACAUCCAUAUGGUGUACAGGUAAAACCUACAGGUUCGGAUCUUAAAUCCAGUGACUUUCUUAAUGUUAUUAGUGCCUACUUUUCCUCCUCUACCACUGAAGCUAGCAGGCAACCAAGCGGCAACUUAUUUCUCUCCUUUUCCUCUGUCUGGAUCGAGCCAGGAGUAGCUCGAGUUGGAUCUCUUCCAAAUUGCAGAUCUCGGAGUACUCGAAGGCCUCUCUGGGCGUUGGUACACGGGCCGGGCGCCGUUCUGUCGCUGGCCACUCAGAAUCGUAGAUCGUCGAUGAAGGUCUAACCUAUGUUGCCUCUGCACGCCAUUGCUCAGCUCCUCGGACACCGUCGGCGUCAACGAGCGGCGAGGAGUCGGUCUUGAUCAGCGAAGACGACUUCCCCGGGACUCCAUCUUCGUGGCUGGCACAACAGUUAAUCAGGUGGGCAUCGCCGCGCUUACUUUCACAAGUGAGAUACGAAUACAAUUGUUGGUUGUUUGGAUCCAGUGGGAUGGUGCGGAGGUGGACGAUGGCCAGACUCCCUGUUAGAGACACCUUUGCCUCUUUGUGGGGCAGGUCGACAGCUUUGAAUCGCUCAAGCGACGAGUUUUAAGGAGUAAGAACCUUUCCCUCUCACAUCUUAUAUCAGUAUUCUCAAAAUAAAACACCGAAGUACCAUCUCACUAUGUAAUCGUAAUGCUUUCAGAUUUUGGGAGUAUAGUUUGUCCAUUUUACUAUAUAAUUGUGACUGUAUUUUUUCCAGAGCUUGGAGUAUUCUGUCUCACUAUGGAGCUUGGGAGCUUGGAGUACUUUGCUUUGCACCAACACCUCCAGAUAUUAGUGCAUGGCUAGCUGUGGCUCUAUGUUUGCUUACUAAUCAAACCAUCAACCUUUUGAGACUUGGAAAGUUGUCAGUUUUUUUACGGAGGAUAGUUGUCAGUUUGAGGAGCUUGCUUUCCUACAUCGUACCUCCCGCUCUUUUUUAGAUGUUGCUUUUUUAUAUCUUUCGUGGAUUGGUGCCUCGACGUUAGGAGGGGCUUGCCUGGUCAUUUUUGCCUUUUGCAAUAAAUCAGUGGCAUUUGGAAGGCUAUAAUUCUUUGGUAGCAUCAGUGAAAAUAAAUUAAAUGUGCUCUUUCAAUUGUUACAGUUAACUUUGUUUCCUUCAUGCCCUUGAUAUUGGUAACAGGAAGAUAUCCAAACUAUUGAUGUUUAUGAUGCAAACUUCCUAGUGGGACGGUCUUGAACUUAUGCUGAGUCUGGUAAGGGGGACUUCUCUCAGAUUGAAUUUUUAAUUACUAAUUCCCUUGUGUGGGAAAUACUAAUAAGGACACACCAAUUUAGAAUGAAAAGUUUUGUUUAAAGGAUGUUCAUGCAUACAUUUUCCAUCUCUUAGUAAGGCCCCUGUAUGGUUAUGCCAGUUUUACAAGCUAGCCACAAGUGCUAGGAGCUAUAUGGCGUACUUUCAACUAUAUCAUGGCAAACAUAUACCAGUUCCAUUUUUAUGUAGUAUAAAACCGUGUAAUGCCCAUGUAGUGUGGACGAUUCGGCCUACUAAUGGACAAAAAAAAGAUCUGUCCAAUAAAAGGCGCAUUUUCAUUAGCCUGUUCUGGACAUUUUUUUGCUUGGAAUCUUGAACUGAUAGCAAAAUAUGUUAGCUUCUCUAGAUUUCUGGUAUUGCGUAGUUAUAAACGAAUACAGUCACAUUUCCUAUGCGUAUUCAUAGAAGCUUUGCACAUUUUGAUAACAAUUGUUUUACCUGCAGCAAUGCUCGUGGGGAAUCAGGUCCCUACUUUUUUUCUUCUUCUUCUUCAAGAAUUUAGAUAAAGUGCGCACUCAACUGUAGUUUUCUUAUUACGAACUAAUUGGUGUUUUCUUUCUAACUAUACUCUUUUUAUACAGUUUUGACCCGUACUCAUUUUGUUUGGUGUAGGUUUUCAUCCUUCCCCAAUGAUGCUACACAUUAUAAGAUCGUUGCUAUGCCUUCGGUUGCAUUGGUUCAGUUUUGAUGGUCCAGCCUUAAAGCCAUGUAACAAAAGGACUUUCAGCGACUUUCAGCUUCAAUUGAAACUCAACUCUGAAAACAUAGUAGAUGCAAAUUGCAUUGGCUUUUAGAUCGAUCUACCCAUUAGGGUCACUAGCUUAGUUGAGCUAUUUGUCAUGCCUCUCAUUGUACCUUCAUUUAUAUGACCACAUGAAUCUGGCUUGAAAUAAGUAAAUUGGAGACUAAAAUGAUUCAAUUUUCUGAGAAACCAAUAAUUACUUCAAGUUGUAGACUAAUGUGUCCGCAGCAACGCGCGGGGA
rnacentral:lncRNA from 1 species